UUUUUUAUUCAAAUAACAACGAAAAGUUAAGCAACAGUAAACAUUAUGCUAAGGAACAUAAAAGAAAAUGCUAAAGAAAAGAGUGUGUUCUGCAGUAAAUAGGCUAUUUUCAGUGUUCUGUAGAAAAAUAUGUCGGUCCAGAAAUCCUGGACUGUAGGUUCGGUUAGGAGCUAGAUUUUUCUGUCUCACUGGUAGAUUUGAUUAUUUUGAGAGUAUAAACAUAGUCUAAAAGACAGUUAACAUUGUUACAUUUUAAAGAAAACAUUGCAACAUCGGAUUUUUAAAAACAUAACAUUUGACUCUGUCGAAAUUCCUUUCUGCUAGAAAUAGAUGGUGCCAGAAAAUUCUUGCCCAGCUCUACCUAAUCAACAGGUCAUCCCAACUGGGCAAAUACCAUUCAGCCAGAGGUUUUUCUGAAGACCUCUUUAUUUUGCAAACAUUUAGAUGCAUUCCAAGCACUCGCAGCCCAGAAAGCCAACUGUAUCCCGGGCUGCAUCAAAAGAAGCGUGACCAGCAGGUCGAAGGAGGUGAUCCUGCCCCUCCACUCUGCUCUCGUGAGACCUCACUUGGAGUACUGUGUACAGUUCUGGUGUCCUCAACAUAAGAAGGACGUGGAGCUGCUGGAGCAAGUCCAGAAGAAGCCAUGAAGGUGAUCAGGGAACUGGAGCAGCUCCCUGGUGAAGACAGGCUGAGGGAGCUGGGCUUGUUCAGGCUGGAUAAGAGAAGGCUCCGGGGAGACCAUAGAGCAGCUUCCAGUGUCCGAAGGGGGCUUGGCAAAACUCAGGACGUGUCCGGUUUCGCGGUCAAAAGCACCGUGAAUCGGAGCCCCGUUAACAACAUCUGGUGUCACUCCAGACCGACCGGGAACCGCCCUCGGCCACUGCAGCAGUAAAACCAGGCGGGAUCUCCAUAGAAGGCAACUGUGCCCACCCAAGCCAGGCUCCACUCAGCAGCCCGCCGUCCCCGGGAGCAGCCUGCGGCACAGCGGGACGCCAGCUCAGGCCUCGGCGCCCCGCCGCCGCCCCUCGCGGGCGGUCGGGCUCCCCCAGCA
rnacentral:lncRNA from 1 species